ensembl:antisense Gm26628 predicted gene, 26628
AGGCCGUCCUCCCCAUACAGGAACUGGACCACGCUGCCAUCGCUGUCACGGACCGUCAGAUCGUACUGGAUGACCAGCCCCUCCAGGUGCUUGAUGAUACACCUGUAAGGAAACUCCCUGCUCAGUGCCCAUGGAAAACACCUCCCAGGGCGGCGAUGAGGGGAAGGAAGGGGACCAAUGCUCCAGGAGAAACUCUAUGAUGGACCACUUCUAGUGCUCCAGGCCAUGGCUCUAACAUCCAGAGGCUACAAUUCCUGCCCGUUUUCCAGGAAGAGAGCACCUCAGUGGUCUCGCUGCCACACUCCCAAGACCAGGUUUCCUAUUUAGCUCAGCUGAUAUGGCUGCUCCCCGUUGUUUGCUCUGCUGCAUCUCAGAGCUCUAAGGAACCAGCCAGCAUCCUUAGAAUCACAGGCAGGCAAAGAAGGGAAGAGAAGGAAGAAUUCUUAAACUGUCAGUGCAGACUGCCAAGCAAAAGGGCAGCAUCAGGAACUAAAUGCUGACAUGAUGCCCCUACCUAAAGACCUUUGUCUCCAGUCCUCUAUGGUAGCUGGCUCCUUCACCCACCUUUGCUUUCUGUCUUGGUUACAACUCAACGGCUACUGCAGUUUCCUAAGACCCUGUUUUCCAACCCAAGCUGGGAGAGUAGAGCUCAGUUCUAUCUACCACUUCCAUGAUGUUUGACUCAGAGCCCGGCAAGCUGGUGGCAAACACCAGCUCUCCUUUCCCCACACAGGGUGGUGGUGAUGUCAGUCUUUGGCCCGCUGCUAUGUUGGCCUUAGAGGGCCUAACAGCUGCCCCUCAUGUCCAUGUCUCUAGACUGCUUCUCUGAGCUUCAGAUCUUAUCGCUAAUGGCCCACUGACACAUCUACUUUGAACCGCCUCCUAUCAAACCGCAGCCAGCCGUAUCCUCCCGCUGCUACAGUAUUCUGUUUCCUGUCAACUGUGCUGUGCUGCCUCUGAGGCCUGAAAACUUGGGUGAGCAGUUCUGUGCCUUCUCCACUCACCCACCUGAAGCCUGUGCUGUGCCUCCUCCGGCCUCAGCUCCCCACUGGCAGGUGAAUUCUGCAAGAUCACUCAGGAGUGCCCUCAACUCUUGUCCUCCCUACACUGAUGCCAUGGAGUCAAGGAGGAAGUGAACACAACAUGGGCACACAUGGAGACAUUGAAAAGAGAUUAUAUCAUCUAAAGAAUGUACACAACAGGUUCAGGGUCUUGGGAUACUAACCCACCUAUCCGAGGUAUUUUGUUUUUUACCUUUGGAGAUAGCCAGAACGGCUGGUUUUGACAGCAGUGUCCACCAGGCCUUCUCGUCCUGCCAUGCAGUGGAAGAAGAACUCCUAUGGGGAAAGUGGGAGCCCGAUGUGGCAGUGAGUACCAUGCAGGGUCACUUUAUGCACCCUCUCCUAGCCAUGCAGAUUGUUCAUUUCCUAGAUUCUAGAAUCCUGGCUUUCAUAACCCCAAUAGCUCCUAAAGACUUGUGAUGCCCUGGGAUCGCUCUCUUCCUGCCUGAGGUGGAGGGACACGUGGAUCAAAAGCAACAGGAGCCAGAAGCCCUAAGUGCACUCCCUCAUGCAUCCUGAGGACACUGUAUGCCACUCUGCAGUGAGAAGCAAUGCUGGAGUUCACCGCUGUCCUGCAAAUCCCAGACCUGGAUCCUGUAGCUCAAAUAUUCCCUAAACUUUUCUGUUUAGUUUUGGGAUAAAGUCUUCAUAUGUC